rnacentral:rRNA from 1 species
UGUCUCGCACUUCGAUUAGAGAUAGAUCAUGGCUCAGGACGAUCUCUCGCGGCGUGCUUAACACAUGCAAGUGGUGCGACGAACCAGGGCUUGCCCUGGGGCAAAGCCGCGAACGGGUGAGUAACACGUGAGUAACCUGCCCCGAUGACCGGGACAACCCGAGGAAACUCGGGCUAAUACCGGAUGUGGUGCAUUGGCAUCAGCCUUUGUACUAAAGGAAGCUUCGGCCUCCGCAUUGGGAGGGGCUCGCGGCCCAUUAGCUUGUUGGUGGGGUAACGGCCUACCAAGGCAACGAUGGGUAGCUGGUCUGAGAGGACGAUCAGCCACACUGGGACUGAGACACGGCCCAGACUCCUACGGGAGGCAGCAGUGGGGAAUCUUGCGCAAUGCGCGAAAGCGUGACGCAGCAACGCCGCGUGGGGGAAGACGGCCUUCGGGUUGUAAACCCCUUUCAGGAGGGACGAAGGUUCGCCGGUGAAUAGCCGUGCGGAUUGACGGUACCUCCACAAGAAGCUCCGGCUAACUACGUGCCAGCAGCCGCGGUAAUACGUAGGGAGCAAGCGUUGUCCGGAAUCAUUGGGCGUAAAGCGCGCGUAGUGGCCAUUUAAGUCCGCUGUGAAAGUCAAAGGG